rnacentral:lncRNA from 1 species
AUCCAGGCACAAAGAACUGAAGAAGGAUGUAUAGGAAGGGAGGAAGGAAGAGGCUGGGAUUGUUACCCAGAGCUCCCAAAGCAGGCUUUAAAGUGGGGUGAUAAAAUUCAAGAGAGGAUACUGAUGAAGUCCCUCAAACCUGAGUCUGAACAAGUCAGCAGAGCUCAGCUUUCAGGAACAAAUGAGAAUAACAUCCAUGUUGCUACUGAGAUAUGAAAGUCAACACAACCUGAUACAAAAUGGUGAUAGUAAUGAAAGACCAGGUGACAUUUCAGGCUGACAUUCCAGACUAGCAUUUUAGUGAUGUUUACAAAAAUUUUAGUUUAAGAAUAUUGAACAAAGAUUUUGCAGAGUUGGUCUCGAGUCUGGGACUGUUUACAGUGGAUUAAAUCAAGUAUAUCUCACCUUAGUUUCUAGAGGAAAUCAUCAGAGACAAGCUCCUAGACACUGUUUCUCAGACUGUGUUUUACAGCUCUUUAGUGAUCAUAAAUGAGUGACAAAAACCACACUGCCUCAGACUUAUUUGGAACAGCUCUGUCCUCCAACACUGGCCUGAGUAAUUUGAACUAGUUCUCCUCCCUCUGCCCCAGCUGAGCAGAGCUGCUGCCAGGAACAAAAAGUGCAGGUGCUGUAGGGAUUAUGAGAGUGGGACGAAGGGAGAGGAAAAGAGAGUUAUGGUAAGAGACUGGAGCCCAACUCACAGAAGUUCAAGAAAUAAUGUCAUAAAGAAAUGAAAAUGCUUUAGGUUUCACUGCAUUAGUGCAAGGAUUAAUUGAAAAUGUCCUAGUUAUAAUUAUUACAUUGCAAGAAAGCAGAAUAAUACUGGGACCUGAGAUCAGCAACAACACAGAACAAUAUCUUGCAUUCCUCUCUAUCCACUGAGCCACAGCAUUGAACCAUCAUGGAACAAACCUGGCCACCCUACUUCAGCUAUAGGAACAUUCUGCUAAUUUGGUUUAACCCCAAAUAAGUAACAAACAGCUACUCACUGAUUCUCUUCCCAGUGGGACGAACAAAAGAAUUGGAAGGGCAAAAAUGAGAACACUUGUGGAUUAAGAUGAGAACAUUUUAAUAAUUGAAACAAAAUAUUAUAAGAAUUAACAAUAAGAAUAAAAAAAAUCAUUAGAAAGAAUUGUUUUUAAAA